rnacentral:hammerhead_ribozyme from 1 species
AUCGAGUCCCAAACAGGACGAAAUGCGCAUCCUGGAU